GUAGUUGUGGCUGAGUGAUUAAGGCGAUGGACUAGUAAUCCAUUGGGGUCUCCCCACGCAGAUUUGAAUCCUGCCAACUAUG